rnacentral:rRNA from 1 species
CAGUCGCCACGGUAAUACGUAGGGUGCAAGCGUUAAUCGGAAUUACUGGGCGUAAAGCGUGCGCAGGCGGUUUUGUAAGACAGAGGUGAAAUCCCCGGGCUCAACCUGGGAACUGCCUUUGUGACUGCAAGGCUAGAGUACGGCAGAGGGGGAUGGAAUUCCGCGUGUAGCAGUGAAAUGCGUAGAUAUGCGGAGGAACACCGAUGGCGAAGGCAAUCCCCUGGGCCUGUACUGACGCUCAUGCACGAAAGCGUGGGGAGCAAACAGGAUUAGAUACCCCCGUAGUCCCUGUCUCUUAUAU